GAUGAACGCUGGCGGCGUGCCUAAUACAUGCAAGUCGAGCGAACGGACGAGAAGCUUGCUUCUCUGAUGUUAGCGGCGGACGGGUGAGUAAAACGUGGAUAACCUACCUAUAAGACUGGGAUAACUUCGGGAAACCGGAGCUAAUACCGGAUAAUAUUUUGAACCGCAUGGUUCAAAAGUGAAAGACGGUCUUGCUGUCACUUAUAGAUGGAUCCGCGCUGCAUUAGCUAGUUGGUAAGGUAACGGCUUACCAAGGCAACGAUGCAUAGCCGACCUGAGAGGGUGAUCGGCCACACUGGAACUGAGACGCGGUCCAGACUCCUACGGGAGGCAGCAGUAGGGAAUCGUCCGCAAUGGGCGAAAGCCUGACGGAGCAAUGCCGCGUGAUUGAUGAAGUUCGUCGGAUCGUAAAACUCUGUUAUUAGGGAAGAACAGAUGUGUAAGUAACUGUGCACAUCUUGACGGUACCUAAUCAGAAAGCCACGGCUAACUACGUG
rnacentral:rRNA from 1 species